rnacentral:lncRNA from 10 species
GCAUGUCUUUAGAACAGAACAAGAUUGAAGAAUACAAUCCAACUUAGAAGCGGAUAUAUUUCUGCAUAUGGAAUACCCUACGGCACCCUAUGGAAACAUGGAACAAACAGAUUUUCCUCUAUCUCACUGAUAAAAAAUUAAGAAAAACACACAAUAAUUAUGCAAAAAUGAGAGUUUAGUACCAGGAAAUAAUUUUCUGAUAAUAAUCAAGAGGUUAAGAAAAUUUAUGACGUUAUUAUGAAUAAUUAAUGUAGGUCUCAAUAUUUUAUAAUAAUAAUAAAAAGGGGGAGUGGCCAAGAUGGUCAACUAGAGGCAACUAGUGUGUGUGACUCUUAUGGAGAGAAACAGAGGGGCAAGUAAAUACAGCACUUUUAACUGAAACAUUCGGGUACAUACAUUGGGACUAAUCAAGGAAACUACCAGACCCACGAAGAAUGGAAAAAAGCAAGGCAGGAUGAUAGCCCACUCAGGAGCAACAUGGAGCCAGGGGAACUUCCCCCACCCAGGGAAGUCGUGAUUGAAUGUGAAACCCCAGGAACUCAUGCUUCUCUGACAGAUCUAUGCAACCUUAUGUCAGGAGAUCUCUCUGUGAACCCACUCCACCAGGACCUUCAGAUUGAAGGUCCAAAACUAUAUGGAGUCUCAACAGAGCAGCUAUUCAAGCACAUGUGGAGACCCAAGAGCCUUAGAAAUGCAGGCUUUCCAGGCCUGCUUGCAAAAUAGCUGCAACUCCAGCAAAGUGGGAGUUUAGACCCCUGUACAUAUCCCUAGGAAAGGAGUUAAAUCCAGGGGGCUGAGCAGUGACAGUUUGCAGGCUUCACUUCCAUGGCACCUCACAGGAUAAGACCCACUGGCUUGGAAUUCCAGACAGCCACCAGUAGCAGCUUUAUCUCUCCCUACAAAAACUUGGCCAGAAUGCUUGUUUAAGCAGGUCCCCAACCCUUUGCUCCUCACUGGGUGGUACCUCCCAGCCAGGGUCUCCAGCCACCCCCAAUGGUGUUUUCAGGUGAACAGAGAUUUGAAGCCACCCUGGGACAGAGCUUCCAGAGGAAGGGGCAGACCACCAUCUUUGUUGUUAGGGUGACCUACCUGUUCCAGCCUUUAGGCUUUGGAGAUUUCAAGCUGAUUGGGAGUAGAAAUGGACCCCCAGCACACCAUAGCUGCUCUAUAAAACAUGGCCAGAUGGCUUUUAUAAGUGAGUCCCCAAACCCAUUCCUCCUCACUGGGUGGGACCUCCAAAUGGGGUCUCUAAUCACCUCCUACAGGUGCAUUUGGGCAGGACACAGGUCCAUAGCUCCCUGGAAUGGAGCUCCCAGAGGGAGGGGCAGGCUGCCAUCUUUGCUGUUUCACAGCCUUCACUGAUGAUAUCUCCAGGUGAAAGUCUGAGGUGACUAGGGACUGGAUGGGACCCCCAGCAUACCACAGCAGCCCUACAGAAAAUUGUCCAGAUUGUCACAUGGGUGCCCAUUUCCAUAUCUCCUCACGAGGCAAGGACUCCAGGCCUGGGCCUCCAGGCAUGCUCCCUUUUAGAGCUAUGGAGCCAGUAGCGGUUCUGCAACUCCCUAGACAGUGUCUCCAGGAGCACUCCAAUUCCUCUGCAGUAGAAUUGCCCUUGCUACCCUCGGACUAAUGAAGGAGCAAAGACCCUAAGUGCUUUACCCACUCCUCCAACAAGCUGCAGUCUGACCCAAAGAGAGCAGGCCAGCCCAUCUCCCAUGGGUACCACCGUCCCCCCACUCAUCACCAGACAGGGAAUCCCCAGCUUUGAUGACAGCAUAAACCCUCCAUCCUUAGUUGAGUAUACUGAGUGAUUGCUGGCCUGCAUCUUUCUUGGGGGAGCCCCCUGGAAAAAAACAAAAGACCCUUGACCACAACCACUACUAAGGUCCCUUCCUCUGCUGCCUCCAUGUUGGGGAAGGAUCAUGAACACUGAGAUCACCCUGGAGCUGCAGUGGGCAGCCCAGGAGUGCUAAGCUGUGAUGUACAGCCAACACUCAAGGGCAAGAGGAAUUCACACAUUCAGACCAUUGAGAGGGAAUACAAUUUCAACUGUGAGGAAACACAGGAAACACAACUGAGGAAGGGUCUACCAACUGACCAGUGUACCUAAGUGCCACCUAAUGGAUCACACCCCAAAGCUUCAACACCAAAAAUGGCUUGCUAACAUAUUCCCAUCUAAAACCAAAAAUGAGAAGUCAGCUUCAAAUAGACCCUGCACAAAGCCUCGUCCCUGUGAAAAGACUCAGAAAAGAAAUCUACUGACUACAAGAGAUUCAGUGUACACUGCAGUUAAAGGUACACCCACAUGCAGAGAUGAAAAGGAACAAACACAAGAACUCUGGUAACUCAAAUGGCCAGAGUGUCAUAUGUCUUCCAAAUGACUAUACCAGUUCUCCAACAAGAGUUCUUAACCAGGCUGAGCUGGGUGAAAUGACAUAAAUAAAAUUCAAAAUGUGGAUAGGAAUGAAGAUCAUCGAGAUUCAGGAAAACAGCAAAACCCAACCAAGGAAACUACUAACAACAUUAAAACAAUAUAGGAACUGAAGGAUGAAACAGCCAGUAUAAAAAAGAACCUAUCGGAUCUGACAGAGCUGAAUAACACAAUAGAAAAAUUUCACAAUAAAAUCACAAGUAUUAACAGCAGAAUAAACCAAUGAGGAAAGAAACUGAACUUGAAGACUGGCUUACUGAAACAAGACAGACACAAAAUUUUUAAAAAGAAUAAAAAGGAAUAAACAAAACCUCUAAGAAGUAUGGAAUUAUGUAAAGAGGCCAAAUCUACAAAUCACUGGCAUUCCUGAAAGGGAGGGGCAGAAAACAAGCAACUUGGAAAACAUAUUUCAGGAUACCAUUCAUGAAAUAUUCCCCAACAUUGCUAGAGAAGCCAACAGUCCAAUUCAGAAAAUACAGAGAACUCCUGCAAUAUUCUGCACAAGAAUAUCAUCCCCAAGACACACAAUUAUCAGAUUUUCCAAGGCUGAAAUGACAAAAGAAAGAAUGUUAAAAGCAGUUAGAAAGAAAAGGCAGGUCACCUACAAAGGGAACCCCAUCAAGCUACCAGCAGACCUCUCAGCUGAAACCCUGCAAGCCAGAAGAGAUUGAGGGCCUAUAUUCAAUGUUCUUAAAAAAAAAAAAAAAUCUUAAACCAAAAAUUUUAUAACCAGCUAAACUAAAUUUCUUAGGUGAGGGAGAAAUAAAAUUCUUUUAUGAUAAGCAAAUGUUGAGGGUGUUUGUUACCAACAGACCUGCUUUACAGGAGAUCUUGAAAGGAGCACUAAAUAUAGAAAGAAAAGAAAGCCCACUACCAGCUAAUACAAAAACACACUUAAAUACACAGACCAGUGAUGCUAUAAAGCAACCAUGCAAACAAGCCAGCCCAAUAACAAGCUAACAACACAAUGAUAAGAUCAAAUCCACACAUAUCAAUACUAACCUCAAAUUUAAACGUGAUAAAUGCCCCCACUUAAAAAGCAGGGUGGCAAGCUAGACAGAAAAUGGCAAGCUAUGACUCAAUGGUGUGCUGUCUACAGGAGACUCAGCUCACAUGUAAUGACACCCAUAGGAUCAAAAUAAAGAGAUGGGGAAAAAUCUACCAAGAAAAUGGAAAACAGAAAAAAGCAGGGGUUGCAAGCCUAAUUUUAGACAAAACAAACUUUAAGCCAACAAAGAUAAAAAAAAAGAGGCAGAAGGGCAUUAUAUAAUGGUAAAGUGUUCAAUUCAUCAAGAAGACCUAACUAUCAAAUAUAUAUGCACCUAACACAGGAGUACCCAGAUUUGUAAAGCAAGCUCUUAGAGAUCCACAAAGAAACAUAGACUCCCACAUAAUAAUAGUGGGAAACUUCAACACUCCACUAACAGUAUUAGACAGAUCAUCAAGGCAAAAAAUUAACAAAGAUACUUUGGACCUGAAUUCAACAUUGGAACAAAUGGAUCUGAUAGACAGAUCUCUACAGAACUCUCCACCCUAAAACAAUAGGAUAAACAUUCUUCUAAUCAUAAUAUGGCACAUACUCUAAAACUGACCAUGUACUUGGACAUAAAACAAUCCUCAGCAAAUGCAAAGGAACCAAAAUCAUACCAAAUGCACCCACAAGCCACAGCACAAUAAAAGUAGAAAUUGAGACUAAGAACAUUGCUCAACACUAUGCAAUUAAAUGGAAAUUAAACAACAUGCUCCUGAAUGAAUUUUGGGUAAAUAAUGAAAUUAAGGCAGAAAUCGAGAAAUUCUUUGAAACCAAUGAGAACAAAGAUACAACAUAUCAGAGUAUCUGAAACACAGCUAAAGCAGUGUUAAGAGGGAAAAUUAUAGUAUUAAAUGCCUAUCAGAAAGUUAGAAAUAUCUCAAAUUAACAGCCUAACAUCGCAACUGAAAGAAUUAGAGAAGCAAGAGCCAAUCAACCCCAAAGCUAGCAGGAGACAAGAAAUAACCAAAAUUAGAUCUGAACUGAAGGAAAUCGAGACACACACACACACACACACACACACACACACACACAAAACAACAUUCAAAAGAUCAAUGAAUCCAGGAAUUGGUUUUUGAAAACAUUAACAAAUAGAUAGGCUGCUAGCUAGACUAAUAAAGAAGAAAAAAGAGGAGAUCCAAAUGACCACAAUUGGAAAUGAUAAAGGGAAUGUUACCAGUGACCCAAAGAAAUAAAAAUAGCUAUCAGAAACUACUAUGAACACCUCUAUGCACACAAACUAGAAAACUAGAAGUAAUGGAUAAAUUUCUGGACACAUACACCCUCCCAAGGCUGAACCAGGAAGAAAUUGAUUCCCUUAACAGAUCAAUGAUGAGUUCUGAAACUGAAUCGGUAAUAAAUAUCCUAUGAACCAAAAAAAGCCCAGGACCUGAUGGAUUCACAGCCGAACUCUACCAGAUAUACAAAGAGGUGGUACAUUCCUACUGAAACUAUCCAAAAAAUUGAGAAGGGAGUCCUCCCCAGCUCAUUCUAUGAGGCCAGUAUCAUCUUGAUACCAAAGGCUGACAGAGACACAAUAACAAAAAAAAGAAAACUUCAAGCAAAUAUCUUUAAUGAACAUUGAUGCAAAAAUCUUCAACAAAAUACUGGCAAACCAAAUCCAGCAGCACAUCAAAAAGCUAAUCUACCAUGAUUAAGUAGACUUCAUCCCUGGGAAGCCAGGUUGGCUCAACUUACACAAAUCAAUAAAUGUGGCUCAUAACAUAAACAGAACUAAAGACAAAAACUGCAUGAUUAUCUAAAUAGAUGCAGAAAAGGCUUGUGAUAAAAUUCAAUAUCCCUUCAUAUUAAAAACUCUCAAUAAACUAUGUACUAAAGGAACAUACCGCUGAAUAAUAAGAGCAAUCUAUGACAAACCCACAGCCAACAUCCUACUUAAUGGGCAAAAGCUGGAAGCAUUCCUCUUAAAAACCAGCACAAGACAAGGAUGCCCUCUUGUCACCACUCCUAUUCAACAUAGUAUUGGAAGUCCUAGCCAGAGAAAUCAGGCAAGAGAAAGAAAUAAAAGGCAACCAAAUAGGAAAAGAGGAAGUCAAAAAUUAUCCCUGUUUGCAAAUGACAUAAUUUUAUAUCUGGAAAACUCAGUAGUCUUGGCCCAAAAGCUCCUUCAGCUAAAAAAUUUCAGCAAAGAUACAGGAUACAAAAUUAAUGUACAAAAAUCACUAGCAUUUCUGUACACCACCAACAGCCAAUCCAAGAGCAAAAUUAGGAAGGAAGUCCCAUUCACAAACGCCACAAAAAGAAUAAAAUACCUAGGAAUACAGCUAACCCGGGCGGAGGGCGGGGGCGGGUGAAAGAUCUCUACAAUGAGAAUUACAAAACACUGCUGAAACAAAGACACAAAGAAAUGCAAAAACAUCACAUGUUUAUGGAUAGGAAGUAUCAAUAUCAUUAAAAUGGCCUUACUGCCCAAAGCAAUCUAGAGAUGAAAUGCUAUUCCCAUCAAUGACAUUCUUGACAGAACUAGAAAAACCUAUUGUAAAAUUCACAUGGAACCAAAAAAAAGAGCCCUAAUGGGCAAUAAUAAGGCAAUUCUAAGCAAAAGGAACAAAGCUGGAGUCAUCACACUAUCCAGCUUUAUACUACAGGGUUACAGUAACCAAAAGAGCAUGGUACUGGUACAAAAACAAACGCAUAGAUCAAUGGAAAGGAUAGAGAGCCAAGAUCAGACUAUCUGAUCUUUGACACAGCUGACAAAACAACCAAUAGGAAAGAGGCUCCCUGUUUAAUAAAUUGUGCUGGGAUAACUGGCUGGCCAAACUCAGAAGAUUGAAGCUGGACUCCUUUCUUACACAACAUAAAAAACAACUCAAGAUGGAUUAAAGACUUGAAAGUAAAACCUAAUACUAUAAAAACCCUGGAAGACCCACCUAGGGAAUACCAUCCUGACAUAAGAAUAGGCAAAGAAGACACCAAAAGCAAUUGCAACAAAAGCAAAAAUUGACAAAUGGGAUCUAAAAUGAAACUAAAGAGCUUCUGCACAGCCAAAUAAACUAUUAAAAGAAUAGUCAACCUAUAGAAUGGGAGAAAAAGGUGUAAACUAUACAUCUGACAAAGAGUAUCUCACAACUAUAAAGGAACUUAUAAGAGAAAAACAACCUCAUUAAAAAGUGGGCAAAGGAUAUGAACAGACACUUUCAAAAGAAGACAUACAUGCGGCCAAAAAACAUGUGAAAAAAAAAAGCUCAAUAUCACCGAUUAUAAGAGAAAUACAAAUCAAAACCACAAUGGGAUACCAUCUCACACCAGUAAGAACCAUUAUUAUUAAUAUUAAAAAGUCACACACACACACACACACACACACACACACACACUUAAUCAUAUAAGAAAAUAUAUUGGGGAACUUUCAUAUUAUUAUUUAGAAUAAAUCAGGCACAUACAAAGUGAGCUGAUGACCAGAUCUAGGCCUAACAUAUUUGAUAACUGACUGAAAACUAAGCAAAUGAUAAAAUAGAUAGAACUUACUAAUUUUACUAUACCCUGCCUCUAUGCAAAAUAAAAUUAAAUAUUCAGAAAUAUACAUAUUUUUAUCAAUUUAAAUACAAAUGUUUAAAAAUUAAUAAAACCUACAUUUUUUUCUUCUGAAUUUUUCCAUAUUGAAUUUUCCAUGGGUCAGAUUAAAUAAAUCAUUGCUACAGCUCCAUGUACCCUUUAUAUAAAAUUCCACAAAUACAUAUUUAGUCUUUUCAACUAUGCUUUGUAUAAAGACAGGCACAUUUGUACAGAAUUAAUAAUGCCACACUAUAUACAAAGAGGACUAUAGUGACUAAAAUCAUACAUUUUUAUUCAGAAUUUUUGACAUUCUUCUUAAUUAUACUUAUGUACGUUUCUAACUCAAUUGAAUUCUUUUCUUUUUUUUUUAAUUCCAUAAAUGGUGUAUCCCUGUUAGCUUUCACUAUGGCAAUAUCCCUGUUCUCCGUUUAGGAACACAUAAAUUGCAUAUUGUAACACGAGAAGAACCAUCAUUCAGCUGAAUACAUAUUUUCAUGGAUUAAUGGUAUUUUUCAAACAAAAAUAUGUUCUCUAUUACAGGGAAGAUAACAAAUUUGAAGCAAACAUCUCCUGUCAUCCUAGUGGUAAUUACCUAUACCUAACCCAGUUCAGUUUGCUAAUUGGCUGCCCUGGAAUAAAAAUUCCUGUAAACACCAGUGUAAUCUCACAGUAUGUUUAUAUAGUCAGCCUGAACUGAAAAGCCAUCAGCAGAUCCAGUGAAUUGAAAAUAAGAAGAAAAAGUAAAUAUAAGAAUGAUGAGAGCUACUUGGGGUAAACUAAAAUUUCACUUGUCUGGGCCAUUUUCAUCAUGUCUAUAAGCCUCAGUAGUAGUAGGAAAUACCUUUUAAAUCUGUUAAGUUGGUGCAAAAGUAAUUGCUAUUACUUUAAUGGCAAAAGCUGCAAUUACUUUUGCACCAGCCUAUGGACGGUAUAUUAGCAUAUGCAUUUAAGAAUAUGUAAUGAGCUUUACCUAAUUGAAAUAUAUAUAUAUAUAUAUAUAUUUUAAAGCUCAAUUCCUAAAAAUUAUAAUUUAGAAAUUUAGUUGGAACAAUUUUGGUUUCAAUCUAUGUGUUUGUUCAGCACAUAUAUAGAUUCAGGAAGAAAUAUUUUAUUUGUAAAAAUAUGACAUGUCGCACAAGACAUACCUUAAAAACAGAUAAGAAAAACAUUCUAUCUUUACUUAUAUUCCACUCAAAACAUAUUAUCAGAACAUUCUAAAGCUUCCAUAAUUUAGUUGGUAUAUUAAAACAAUUUACCAAAUUGUUAAAUACAGAUUUUUAAAAAAUAAUAAAAUACAAUUCAGUUAUUUACUCAAAGAUCCAGGAUACAAAUCUGACCAAAUGAUUAUUGGCAUCUAAAUGUUGAAUUCUAUAGGAGAAACAGACAUAUAAACAAACAAUGGCAAACAGUGUAAUAAAUGCUAAAAAGAAUACCAAAAAAAAGAAAAGAUAUGAUAGGAGAGCAAGUAAAGCUGCAUUUAAAUACGUUGGGGGAAAUCAGAGUGGUAGCAUUUGAGUCUGUGUCAGAAAAGUAAAUUCUACUUUACUUUAAAUAAACUGUAUUAAAUGUAAUUGUUUAGAUAGGCUUCUACCUUUUCAGAAAUGCUUAUUAUAGUCUUUAUUAUGAAUAGAAACUUUUAACAUAACAUGAUUACAAAUAGUUGAACCAUGCAACAGACUACCAUCUAGUUCUUUCUAAAUAAUGCCUCUCUUGAAAAAAUGCUUCUCUAGAUUCAAUUUAUUCAUGAAGCAGCAUGUGUUUAUUUCAAAGUCUGUCAUUCCUGAAAGAUACAGGCCCAAGCCUGUUUUGUUUGUGACGGCUAAUAAUAUCCCAGAAUUGAAAAGAACUAUUAUUUUUAUAUUAGUUAUGCUCUGUCCCUGUUUGGUGAAUUAAGUCCCAAGCUUUGAAAGUCUUACUUCAUGAGCUAGCUUAACUUUUGGUCAUCAAAGGCAAUUUAGCUGCAGAGAAACUUAGCUAGCAGUUGUCUUUAAACCUACGGUUGAUGCCUGAGGAAAGAGGGAAAAGUAGACUGUUUCUAAUUUGAAUGGGAUAUGGGUGGUGGGCAAGAGUCCUAGUGCAAAAGAGUGAGACUUAGAAAGGCUCUUGUGAAAACUGUAUUUACUUAACAGGAGACUUAGUAAGAGAUUUAUUUGAGAAGGUGGAAGUUUCAAAUUGAAGGAUGGGCCAUAUCACCCAGAUGGUAGUAAUCCUCGCUCCUGGUAGUACUUCUUCUUUACUGGGAGGAGUGGAAGAGAAAUGAUCUUCAAGGAAAUUCUAGUUGGCUCAACAAAAGGAUGGAGAUCUGGCUUUUGAAAAUAAACCCUUGGAAGGAGCCAUAGAGAGAUGCCAACUAGCUUAGGCCUGUUUUCUCAUCCACAAAGAAAUGAAUUUAUUUGCUUUUCCUUCAUGCUGAACAAUACAUGUGUGGAAAUAGAUCCCAGGUUCAUGAGAAAUGGAAAUUGAAUUGGAUUAUUAAUCAGCGUUCUGAGCUAUGCCUGGGAAUGUUCUGAAUGUACUAUAUUGAGCACAAAUACACACAAAAAAAUACAAAAGAAUUAGUUUGUAAAUACAGGUGUGGGUGGCAGUUUCAUGUCAGUGGGCCAAGAUUGGUCUGAUGAAAUGUUUCACUAAAGUGAUUAUCACAAAACAGAAUGAUUUUUACAGUGAAAAAAGUUUUAGACAAAACCCUAU